rnacentral:rRNA from 1 species
GGGCCCGCACAAGCGGUGGAUGAUGUGGUUUAAUUCGACGCAACGCGAAAAACCUUACCUACCCUUGACAUGUGAGGAACGCUGCAGAGAUGCAGCGGUGCCCGAAAGGGAACCUCAACACAGGUGCUGCAUGGCUGUCGUCAGCUCGUGUCGUGAGAUGUUGGGUUAAGUCCCGCAACGAGCGCAACCCUUGCCAUUAGUUGCCACAUUCAGUUGAGCACUCUAAUGGGACUGCCGGUGACAAACCGGAGGAAGGUGGGGAUGACGUCAAGUCCUCAUGGCCCUUAUGGGUAGGGCCACACACGUCAUACAAUGGCGCGUACAGAGGGUCGCCAACCCGCGAGGGGGAGCCAAUCCCAGAAAGCGCGUCGUAGUCCGGAUUGAAGUCUGCAACUCGACUUCAUGAAGUCGGAAUCGCUAGUAAUCGCGGAUCAGCAUGUCGCGGUGAAUACGUUCCCGGGCCUU